UACGUAGGGGGCAAGCGUUGUCCGGAUUUAUUGGGCGUAAAGAGCUCGUAGGCGGCUUGUUGCGUCGACUGUGAAAACCCGCGGCUUAACCGCGGGCUUGCAGUUGAUACGGGCAGGCUAGAGUUCGGUAGGGGAGAGUGGAAUUCCUGGUGUAGCGGUGAAAUGCGCAGAUAUCAGGAGGAACACCGGUGGCGAAGGCGGGUCUCUGGGCAAUAACUGACGCUGAGGAGCGAAAGCGUGGGGAGCGAACAGG
rnacentral:rRNA from 1 species